AUCAUAUUUAUAAGAAAUAUUUUUAUAAGUAUUGACAAAAUAUUUUUAGUAUUGUUGGAACAUUUCUAAGUUAAAUGCCGCAAAACAGACAUCGAUAUAAUUUUUUGUUUAAUCACGAAAAAUUAAUAAAGAAGUUACUUCCGGAAAAAACUGUUUUUGCGAUUAUUUAACAAAUGGAGGGUGAUAGAAAAAAACGAACAA